rnacentral:rRNA from 1 species
GACGGAGGAUGCGAGUGUUAUCCGGAAUCACUGGGCGUAAAGCGUCUGUAGGUGGUUUAAAAAGUCUACUGUUAAAGCUUGAAGCUUAACUUCAAAAAUGCCGUAGAAACUUUUAAACUUGAGUGUGGUAGGGGUAGAGGGAAUUUCCAGUGGAGCGGUGAAAUGCGUAGAUCUUGGAAAGACCACCAAUGGCGAAGGCACUCUACUGGGCCAUUACUGACACUAAGAGACGAAAGCUAGGGGAGCAAAUGGG